CGACAUAUUUUGUACAAAAAAUUGUUGUAUUUUUGCAACGUGGUCGUGACGUGGACAAUAGAAUUAUAUGUCAUGACGUGGCAGUGGUUAUAGAGCGUAGUAGGGACCAGUCAAGGAGUGCAAACCCCCCGGAAACCGAGACAAAGUCCGCCCCGGCAAGUCGCGUAGACCCGUAGAUCGCGCAUUGGGGGCGGUAAAUCGUUCCAGCACCGGGAGGCCGCAAACCUGAACGAUCCACGAAAGGCAGCAGUUCUGUGCGCCGGCGUCUCGAAAACACUAGUACAAGCACGCCUGGGGUACCCUCCAUGCACCUUAGUCCACGCCAAUUUGCCAAAUAGAUAUUGCGGUGUGCCAGUGCUCAGUACGUCGAACAUCAUUGUAGACAAGUGCAUCCUCCGGCGAGACUCCAUGUUCAAACCAGUUACGAGGAGCUUGGAUUUCUUGGGGUUCAGGACAAGACAGUUUGUUUUGCACCACCUUGAGAUUGUCUUUAGGUC